rnacentral:lncRNA from 1 species
GAGCAAAAGUUGCUGUAGAAGUUGUUGGCACUUAUCCUCUUCGAUUACCAUCGAGUUUUAAAUUAGAUUUAAAAGACUGUUAUUUUGUUCCUAUAGCUAGUCGAAAUUUAAUUUUUAUGUCUGUGCUAGCACAGAAAGAUUUUGAAUUAAAUUUUAAUAAAGAUUUUUAUUUUAUUUAUUUAUAAAAUAAAUUAGUUACACAAGAUCUUUUAAUUGACAGUCUAUAUCACUUGCAUGUUGAUGUGAAUGUGAAUUUGAACGAGCAAAUAGUGAGUGCCGUAGAUCAAAAGAGAUCUAGAGAUAAAAUUAACUAGAAGUACUUGUGGCAUCAUAGACUAGGCC